GUGCCAGCCGCCGCGGAUAAUACGUAGGGGGCGAGCGUUGUCCGGAAUGAUUGGGCGUAAAGGGCGCGUAGGCGGCCAUUUAAGUCUGGAGUGAAAGUCCUGUUUUCAAGAUGGGAAUUGCUUUGGAUACUGGAUGGCUUGAGUGCAGGAGAGGUUAUCGGAAUUCCCGGUGUAGCGGUGAAAUGCGUAAGAUCGGGAGGAACACCAGUGGCGAAGGCGGGUAACUGGACUGCAACUGACGCUGAGGCGCGAAAGUGUGGGGAGCAAACAGGAUUAGAUACCCUGGUAGUCCACACUGUAAACGAUGAAUGCUAGGUGUAAGAGGUAUCGACCCCUUUUGUGCCGGAGUUAACACAAUAAGCAUUCCGCCUGGGGAGUACGGCCGCAAGGUUGAAACUCAAAGGAAUUGACGGGGGCCCGCACAAGCAGCGGAGCAUGUGGUUUAAUUCGACGCAACGCGAAGAACCUUACCAGGUCUUGACAUCCACUUAAGCCCAUAGAGAUAUGGGGUCUCUUCGGAGGAAGUGAGACAGGUGGUGCAUGGUUGUCGUCAGCUCGUGUCGUGAGAUGUUGGGUUAAGUCCCGCAACGAGCGCAACCCUUGCCAAUAGUUACUAACGAGUAAAGUUGAGGACUCUAUUGGGACUGCCGGGGACAACUCGGAGGAAGGUGGGGACGACGUCAAAUCAUCAUGCCCCUUAUGACCUGGGCUACACACGUGCUACAAUGGCCGUAACAGAGAGAGCGAAAGUGCAAGCUGGAGCAGAUCUCAAAAAAGCGGUCUCAGUUCGGAUUGUGGGCUGCAACCCGCCCACAUGAAGUCGGAGUUGCUAGUAAUCGCGGAUCAGCAUGGCCGCGGUGAAUACGUUCCCGGGCCUUGUACACACCGCCCGU
rnacentral:rRNA from 1 species